rnacentral:tRNA from 13 species
UGUCAGAAGUGGAUCUGAACCCACGCCCACAUUCGUGACCAGAACUCUCAACACUCUGCGACAGAGCAAGGGAACCCUUGAGUCUGGCGCCUUAGACCGCUCGGCCAUCCUGAC